rnacentral:rRNA from 1 species
CCUACGGGGGGCAGCAGUGGGGAAUAUUGCGCAAUGGGCGAAAGCCUGACGCAGCGACGCCGCGUGAGGGAUGAAGGUCUUCGGAUCGUAAACCUCUGUCAGCAGGGAAGAACGGUCACUGUGCUAAUCAGCAGUGAAUUGACGGUACCUGCAAAGGAAGCACCGGCUAACUCCGUGCCAGCAGCCGCGGUAAUACGGAGGGUGCGAGCGUUAAUCGGAAUUACUGGGCGUAAAGCGAGCGUAGGCGGUUUGUUAAGUCAAGGGUGAAAUCCCCGGGCUCAACGGGGGAAGUGCCUUUGAAACUGGCAAACUGGAGUGUGUAAGAGGAGAGUGGAAUUCCAGGUGUAGCGGUGAAAUGCGUAGAUAUCUGGAGGAACAUCAGUGGCGAAGGCGACUAUCUGGCACAUAACUGACGCUGAGGAGCGAAAGCGUGGGUAGCAAACAGGAUUAGAUACCCCAGUAGUC